CCUACGGGGGGCAGCAGCUAAGAAUAUUCCGCAAUGGACGAAAGUCUGACGGAGCGACGCCGCGUGGAUGAAGAAGGCUGAAAAGUUGUAAAAUCCUUUUGUUGAUGAAGAAUAAGGGGGAGAGGGAAUGCUUCUCUGAUGACGGUAAUCGGCGAAUAAGCCCCGGCUAAUUACGUGCCAGCAGCCGCGGUAACACGUAAGGGGCGAGCGUUGUUCGGAAUUAUUGGGCGUAAAGGGCAUGUAGGCGGUUAUGUAAGCCUGAUGUGAAAUCCUGGGGCUUAACCCUAGAAUAGCAUUGGGUACUGUGUAACUUGAAUUACGGAAGGGAAACUGGAAUUCCAAGUGUAGGGGUGGAAUCUGUAGAUAUUUGGAAGAACACCGGUGGCGAAGGCGGGUUUCUGGCCGAUAAUUGACGCUGAGAUGCGAAAGUGUGGGGAUCGAACAGGAUUAGAUACCCGGGUAGUC
rnacentral:rRNA from 1 species